rnacentral:rRNA from 1 species
AUUGAACGCUGGCGGCAGGCCUAACACAUGCAAGUCGAGCGGAUGAAGGGAGCUUGCUCCUGGAUUCAGCGGCGGACGGGUGAGUAAUGCCUAGGAAUCUGCCUGGUAGUGGGGGAUAACGUCCGGAAACGGGCGCUAAUACCGCAUACGUCCUGAGGGAGAAAGUGGGGGAUCUUCGGACCUCACGCUAUCAGAUGAUCCUAGGUCGGAUUAGCUAGUUGGUGGGGUAAAGGCCUACCAAGGCGACGAUCCGUAACUGGUCUGAGAGGAUGAUCAGUCACACUGGAACUGAGACACGGUCCAGACUCCUACGGGAGGCAGCAGUGGGGAAUAUUGGACAAAGGGCGAAAGCCUGAUCCAGACAUGCCGCGUGUGUGAAGAAGGUCUUCGGAUUGUAAAGCACUUUAAGUUGGGAGGAAGGGCAGUAAGUUAAUACCUUGCUGUUUUGACGUUACCAACAGAAUAAGCACCGGCUAACUUCGUG